rnacentral:rRNA from 1 species
AGAGUUUGAUUAUGGCUCAGGAUGAACGCUGGCGGCGUGCCUAACACAUGCAAGUCGAGCGAUUCUCUUCGGAGAAGAGCGGCGGACGGGUGAGUAACGCGUGGGUAACCUGCCUCAUACACAUGGAUAACAUACCGAAAGGUAUGCUAAUACAGGAUAAUAUAAGAGAUUCACAUGGAUUUCUUAUCAAAGCUCCGGCGGUAUGAGAUGGACCCGCGUCUGAUUAGCUAGUUGGUAAGGUAACGGCUUACCAAGGCGACGAUCAGUAGCCGACCUGAGAGGGUGAUCGGCCACAUUGGAACUGAGACACGGUCCAAACUCCUACGGGAGGCAGCAGUGGGGAAUAUUGCACAAUGGGCGAAAGCCUGAUGCAGCAACGCCGCGUGAGUGAUGAAGGCCUUCGGGUCGUAAAACUCUGUCCUCAAGGAAGAUAAUGACGGUACUUGAGGAGGAAGCCCCGGCUAACUACGUGCCAGCAGCCGC